AACGAGGUCCAGAGUCACCUUUUCAGCAAAAUGCAGUUAGGGUGCUAGGAUUUCUCGAAAAUGAAAUUGGUCGUAUUAUGCAAGUAGGGCUUGCUUUUGCGCUCCCCGACUUCACCUCAUUCCCAAACAUUU
ensembl:snoRNA R151.11 ncRNA